GGAAGACUUAAGAUGGCGGCGUUUGCACGGAGUGCAAUCACUGCGUCCUUACGGGGGUUGCAAGGCGUCCGAAGUAUGAGUCCACUAACAAAAGUCCAGAAACUCGCCAGUUAAUAGUAUUGUGUCUCUUCAAAAUAUCGGAGAAUAAUUUCUUUCUCGCUGAUCGCCUAACUUCUACUGACGAAGCUUGGAAGUUGCAGAAGGUUGGAGUGCAAUGGCGCGAUCUCGGCUGACUGCAACCUCCACCUCCUGGAUUCAAGCUAUUCUCCUGCCUCAGCCUGCCGAGUAGCUGGGAUUACAGGCAUGUGCCACCGCACCCAGCUAAUUUUGUAUUUUUUAGUAGAGAUGGGGUUUCUCCAUGUUGGUCAGGCUGGUCUUGAACUCCUGACCUCAGGUGAUCCGCCCACCUCAGCCUCCCAAAGUGCUGGGAUUACAGGCGUGAGCCACCGCGCCCGGCCAGAACAUUAGUUUUAAACUUCCUAACCCUUGGGAGAAGGCAAAACACUUGAUGAAAUCUACAUAAAGACUAAAACAUUUUACCAAUUUUGCAUUGUUUGUUUGAAAUUGCAUUGACGACUGGCUGGAGUGCAAUGGUGUGAUCUCGGCUCACUGCAACCUCGACCUCCCGGGUUCAAGUGAUUCUCCUGCCUCAGCCUCCCGAGUAGCUGGGAUUACAGGGGCCUGCCACCAUGCCCGGCUAAUUUUUGUAUUUUUGGUAGAGAUGGGGUUUCACCAUGUUAGCCAGGCUGGUCUGGAACUCCUAAUCUCAGGUGAUCCGUCUGCCUCGGCCUCCCAAAGUGCUGGGAUUACAGGCGUGAGCCACCGCGCCCGGCCAUUCCUUAAUGUUUAACACCCAGUGCAUAUUCAGAUUUUCCCAGUUGUCCGCAGGAUGUCUUUUAUAGCUGCUUUCUUCAAACCAGGAUCUAUUCGGAGACCACACAUUGCAUUUGAUUUUUAUGUCUUUUGAGCCUUUUAAAAUUUAGAGCAGUUCCCUAUAACCCCUUCUUUUGUUUGUUUUAUGAAAUUGGCUUGUUGAACUUCACAAAACACGAGUUGGGGUCAUGCCAACUGUACCGUUAGUGAUUAGUUUACAUAUAGGGAAAAUAAUUUGUGAAUGUUGGUCCAUUCACUCUGCCAGCUAUACCAUGGCAGCAUUUCCAGUAUCAGGAAAGCAAACCAGGGGAUCUAAAACUGAGCAUUAAAAACUCUCCCCUAUCCAGUGAAAGAGAUAAGAAUGCCAGUUGUGAGAAAAUUGAAGGGGAAACGGAGAAUGUCAGUGUUAAAGAUAUUUGAACUUUUUUUUUUUAUCCAUUUGAAAGGUAUUUUUUUUGGGUGAACUAUUUGUUAAUAUUCUUGGUCCUGUAAAAAAAAAAUUGGUGUUUGGACUUUUUCUUAUUGUAGACACUCUUCAUAAAUUAAGGAAAUUCGCCUUUUUUUGUUAUAAUAUUGCAGACUUUUUUUUUUUUUGAGAUGGAGUCUUGCUCUGUCGCCAGGCUGGAGUGCAGUGGCACGAUCUUGGCUCACUGCAACCUCCGCCUCCCAGGUUCAAGCGAUUCUCCUGCCUCAGCCUCCCGCGUAGCUGGGACUACAGGCGUGUGGCACCAUGCCCAGCUAAUUUUUGUAUUUUUAGUAGAGAUGGGGUUUUACCAUGUUGGCCAGGAUGGUCUCGAUCUCUUGACCUUUUGAUCCGCCCGCCUUGGCCUCCGAAAGUGGUGGGAUUACAGGCAUGAGCCACUGCACCCGGCCUGCAGAUAUUUUUUUCAGUUAGCUACUUUUCUUUUCACUUUAUAGUAUUUUUUUACUUAAUUGUGGCACAAUACACAUUAGUGUUUUAGCCAUUUUAAAGUAUACAAUUUAGUGGCAUUUCAUACAUUCACAGUGUUGUGCAUCCAUCACUGCUGUCUAGUUCCAACAGAUUUUAAUCACUUCUAAAAGAAACCCUGUACUCAUUCCCUUUGCCCUCUAUCCCAUGGCUACUAAUUUGCUUUCUGUUUAUGGAUUUGCCUGUUCUGAAUAUUGUAUACAAGUGGGAUCAUAUAUAGUAGACCCUUGAGGAAUGGGGGGGUUAGGGUCACCAACCCCUCAUACAGUCAAAUCUGCAUAAAAUUUUUAAUUCCACCAAAACUUAACUAAUAGCCUACUGUUGACUGGAAGCCUUACCAAUAACAUAGUCAAUUAACACAUACUUUCUAUGGUAAUUUAUUAUCUACUAUAUUCUUGCAAUUAGCUAGAGAAGAAAAUGUUAUUAAAAAUCAGAAGGAAGAGAGAGUAUAUUUACGAUUCAUUAAAUGUAAGUGGAUCAUCAUGAAGGUCUUCAUCCUUUUUGUCUUCAUGUUGAGUAGGCUGAGGAAGAGGAGGGGUUGGUCUUGCUGUCUAGGGAGUGGUAGAGGUGGAAAAGAUGGAGGAGGCAGGAGAGGCAGACAUACCUGGUGUAACUUUUACUGAAAAAAAAUACAUAAAAGUGGACCCACGCAGUUCAAAACCAUGUUCAG
ensembl:lncRNA JPX JPX transcript, XIST activator